GUUGAACGCUGGCGGCAGGCCUAACACAUGCAAGUCGAACGGUAGCACAGAGAGCUUGCUCUCGGGUGACGAGUGGCGGACGGGUGAGUAAUGUCUGGGAAACUGCCCGAUGGAGGGGGAUAACUACUGGAAGCGGUAGCUAAUACCGCAUAACGUCGCAAGACCAAAGUGGGGGACCUUCGGGCCUCACACCAUCGGAUGUGCCCAGAUGGGAUUAGCUAGUAGGUGGGGUAAUGGCUCACCUAGGCGACGAUCCCUAGCUGGUCUGAGAGGAUGACCAGCCACCCUGGAACGGAGACACGGUCCAGACUCCUACGGGGGGCAGCAGUGGGGAAUAUUGCACAAUGGGCGCAAGCCUGAUGCAGCCAUGCCGCGGGUAUGAAGAAGGCCUUCGGGUUGUAAAGUACUUUCAGCGGGGAGGAAGGCGGUGAAGUUAAUAACUUCACCGAUUGACGUUACCCGCAGAAGAAGCACCGGCUAACUCCGUGCCAGCCGCCGCGGUAA
rnacentral:rRNA from 1 species